UAUUAAAAAAUGUUCAGGUGUCUUGAUUUCAGAAUCAUUAUUACAUGCAAUUUCGCGUUUAGAUGUAAUUUAAAAUCAAGAUAUUAAAAUAUCCAGCUAAGCGGUUAGAUCUUAACCAUCUCAAGACUUAAUUUUAAUAAAAGAUCUUGGAGAUUUGAAACCAGACCUUUUAUUUGAAAAAAUAUUUCUACCUACGGUAUGGAAUGGUCAAUGCCGGUGGCAUGCGGGAUAAAUAAAUGGCACGAUUCAAUUUCUAUGCUGGGAAGAACCUCAGGCUCGUACUCUCAACGAAUUGACUAAAUGUAGAGUUUAUAUACCACAUACCAUAUAUAAUAAUACUUGUAUCAGAGAAGAUAAUAGAGGGUGGGAAGAGGAAUCCCCGACACCUGUUACACGUCUAUAUCUACGCUGAAGGGUCAUAUCGGCUUGUACUACGCCAGCAAAGAUGCCUCGUUAUCUAAACGAAAAAUCACCGUCUCUCUCUUUCUCCUUUUCUUUCUUAUUCUGGUUUUAGCGGUUCAACAAUGUUACGAUCUUGUUAUAUGUGUGCUACAGCAUGUUCCGAUAGACAGAUGAACAUAAAGAUACAAACCCGAUAUAAAUAUUUUAUUUUAUUUUAUUUUAUUUUAUCAAUUUCGUCAUUGUCUUUUGUAUUUGUAAUUUGUAAAUGCGGUAUGCUGUUAUUUUAUAUCAUAUAUAAAUAUAUACAUAUAUGGUUUAUGGAUUUAAUAUAGAUGCGACUCGAGGUCCCCUAUCAUCGUAAUGAUACUGGCGUGUCCAGCGACGGGUACAAAAUAAUGAAAAAAAUACGUACAUAAUAAUAACGAAAGGAAAAGGAUAAAAUAACGAGGAAAAAAAAGAUCCAUUUCAUGUUAUAAAAUAAAACUCGACAAUUUGAAAUAAUAGUGUAACGAUAAUGACUUCGAGGAAAGUUAUUUUCCAACUCUAUAAAUCGUGUCCGCAAAUAUGUAUUAUGCAUGUUUUUAGUUUAUUAUAUACAUUUAUACACAUAUACAUGCAUAAUAUUUAACAAUUAAGAGCUGUGAGUGUGAGAAUAUUUAAAAAAAAAUUGAUGGUUUAAAAUGAAAUUACGAGCUUGUAAAAAAACAUAAGAUUAAUAAUUAGAUAUAACAUUGUUUGUGUGAUGUAAUGACGGAUUUUAAAAAGAAAAUAAUUAACGAAAUAAAAUUGUUAGUAGCAGGUAUUUAAAUAAAUCAUCAAAACUUUAAAUGAUCUUAUAUCGCAUGAUUAGACACAUGAAACUAAACAAGUAGUUAGGAAGAAGGCUCGUUAAAGAACGUGAGUCACUUACAUGUGAUGUAACAUGUGUUGGAGAAAACCGCGCACAAGAUCUCUAACAAGUUUAAAGACAUCUAAAUCUAUUAUAUAUAUAUAUAUAUGAUAGUAAACUACUCGAAGAGUUUUUUUAUUUUAUAUUAUUGUGUUUCAAGUCAUCCGUACAGGGUUUAUUAUACACAUAUAUGUAACAAUAAUACAAACACAAAUAGACUACAAGAAAAAUGAUGCGACAAAGGAAGAGUUGUGUUUGUUUUAUUUAAGAUAUGUCGAUUGUGUCCAAAAGAGUUUGUAAUGUUGAGUAAAGAACGAGGUUUUUCGACCUGUAGACCGGUUCGAAUACCGAAGUUUUUGUUUCCUGACGAAUUCUCGGGUCUCCUCAACAUCUUUUUUUCGAAGAUUUUAUGUACGUAAAUUCGCAUUUUAAACUAAUUUAUAACUAAAUAAUAUACUGAUGAAUAAAAGGAUAAAAACCCGGGCAACAAUUGAGUCAUAAAUUAUUUUGUUAUAAAAGAGCGAUACGAUGUAAAUGAUGGAUCUUAAAUCCUAUCCGUUAGCGUGUGUGGUUAAAAAAAGUUUAAAAAAUAAAAGGAAAAAAAAAACUAAUACCGGAAUACGUGUUUCCGCUGGACAAUUUGCUACGUACGUUUACAUGUUAAUGCUCUGACUCUGACUCUGGCUCAACCCUUUCUUUUUCAGUGAUAUGUGAGUAUGUGUGUAAAAGCGUCGUGUCGCAUGUGCAAACCCUCGAUCACAGUCUGUAGUCAUUGUUUUAUUGCGAAAAACAACGUCUAGUCUUAUAGUUUAACGUGUUACAUACUAAUAUCUACAUAUGCAUAUUACAUAUACAUGAGCUAAGCGCUAAAGUUUGCAGUAAUGUAAAAUUAACAAUAGGACGAUGACAAUGCAAUCGAUAUUGACAAUUUUAAUAUGCAAGCAAUCGUUUAUAUUUGUCGUUCUCUAUCAGUUUUAUAGCUAUUUAUAUUUGUAUUGUUCAGUUGUAUAUAAUGGUGAAGAAGAAAAGAAUGAGAAGGUGAUGAUGUUGAUGACAGUGGUGUUGGUGGCGGAUACUUAUUAGGAAAUCCAACAAUCGCAUUUUUGCCGGAUCGAACGUCGAUGUUCGAUUCGCGGAACUCUUAAGGGCAAGGUGCGCAUGCGUUGUCGCCUCACCACCACCACCUCCUCCUCCUCCUCCUCUUUCACUUAUUGUGAAUUCUCGUGCCCUUUAUGUGACUCUGAUGUGUGAGUACGUAGUUGCAGUUAGCAAGCAGACUUAUUUAUGUUUUCUUGAUCGCAUUACCGGCGUUCUAUUCUGUAAAACCAACUAUUGUCAUUUUGUUUCAGGUGACAUACUGUCGGUACUUGUGGGAUUUUAAAUUAUUUUUUUUUAGUCACGUUAAACCUCUUGACCUCUUAAUCUUGCUUCAAUGAUUUUGGUCGGUAGUUGUAGGUCUAAUCUAGAGAUGAGUUGUUUAGUCUAGACCUAAGCGUCCAGUUUAGUUCCAGGUUUAAAUCCAGAUCCAGACAGAGUUCGCCCACUGAACUGUAAAUAAAUAAAACGACAAAAUAAUUUUUAAAAAGCAAGACUCGUUUUUAAAAAGUUGAUUUUCCCAUUUAGGCGCUUGGAGAUCCAAUUCAAACGGUAAUCGCGGAGUCAAGUCCAGGGCAAUUCGUAAAAAAUUGAUAAAUAAAAACCGAGAAAAUAAGAGUCCGCAAAAAAUCAGUUAACGGAGAAGAUUAUUCCCGUUAACAUUUAAGUUGUUAUUUUGUUUAUUUAUGUGUUUAGUUUUUUUUUUUUUUUUUCUUUCGAGUGUUACACUUAUUGUCAUUUAUGUAGUGAAUAGUUAGACGGUAGUUUUAGUUGUGUUUUUAUUGAUUUGUUAAUUUUUUUUUCUAAGCGUAUGUGAUUAUGUCAACUUUUGCGAAAUGAUGUUCUAUACUGAUGUCGAUAAAUGUAAUGUAAUGAGAAAAUGGCGCGAGCAUGCACGCAACAAGAUUUCCUAGAAGUCUGUAAUAAGGCCUGUUGUGAGUGCGAGAAAGUAUGAAAUACCUGAACGUCGCUAACAAGUAAAAAAUAUAGAUUAAAAGAGUAGACGGAAAUGCCGAGCUAAAGAGUUCUAUAGUAGCAGUAUAAUAGUAGUUCAUCCUUCACGUAUCACGGUCCUUUAUUUUUUAUCGUAAAUCGUCGAAUGGACCAGACGCAAAUUAGCAAGGCCGAUAAUAUCAGGAAGAACUUGUUCACAAAGAAAUCAAAUCGAUGGUCCUCGAGCUGCCUUUAUAUGUCCAGAUACAGAUAUAUACUACUAUACUUACUACCUAUAUAUAAAUGAAAGGAUUUAUAUUGCUAUCGAGAGUAUAAGAGCUGAGUACAAGAGUAGUCAAGAGGCGGAUGAUAUUGAAGGAAGUCAAAGGAGAGUUGAGUUAGUCUUCCAAGUAAUCCGCGAGGAAGAGCAGAGCUCUGUGACUUCUCACGCAGGGACCAAUUAUCCCUUUCCAGAAGACAAUUAUCGUAGCUUUUGAACUGGCAACGUGCGCAAUUGCACUCGACCUCGACGUAACUUAUUUUCUGGUGAACGGGGCUCACCUCUUCCACGAAUCGCCGAAAAUAAUUGAUGAGUGAGGCCAUACGUUCUUCUUAUAUGUAUAUAUAUAUAUAUAUAUAUAAACCCUAUAUAUGUACUUCAUACGUUCCAUUUGAAACAAGCAAAGCGUAGAGGGCAAUCUUCCACUUUUCUCUUCGUAGAAUCGUUUUAGAAAUAAGGAAAAAAACUUAUUAAACUUACUUUAGCAUUAUAAAUACAGAAGAUCAGCCGAGUAGAGAAGAGUAGAAUAAGAAAAGAGUAAAGUACACAUAUAAUACAGGAGGGCGAACACACGCACGCAACAAAGUGCAUCUCGAUACAGUCAAUUGGCCGGAAAUACAACUGACGACUUAAUGACGUGAGAAUACUGUAUAGUAUAGACGAUACGAACAAAUGAAAUUAGCCUUUAGUCUGUAGGUAUAGCAAAAAAAAAAAGAACGAAAGAAAAAAAAAUUAUUAGCCACCCGAUUAUUUUUUACCUGGUAAAAACACCAACAUUUUUAUAUAAAUAUGUAUUUGAAAUUGUAUGUAUGGAGAUGAUAAGUGUGCAUGUCGAUGUCUAUAUCGUACAUUUAUGUGCUAUAAGCGUAAGACUUGAGAACAUGUGCGCUGUUCUCGGGUUCUCGGAAAGCUCUAGAUAUAUGUAAUUUGUGACGAUAAAGAGGUCGAUCGACAGUCAGUGUAGUAAAGUCUUGAUACAACGUUUUU